rnacentral:lncRNA from 1 species
CAACAAACGACGUCAUAUGUAUAGAAUCAAAACAAUGAUUAUAUUUUACGGCCAUCAGUCAUCAUAUUUCAAUCAUGACAAAUCACUUUUUACCUGCAAAUAAGGGCGUUGCAAGAAAGCUGUAACGUUAAUGGCUUCUGUGACUGAGGUGAUUAUACCAUUUGAAUUCAGGUAGUGGGACACUGAGCUGUUUUUUAAUUGGACAUGUCUGUAGAAGAUUUGGAAGGAGAGGUCUUCUUCAACUUCCAAGCUGGCUCCAAUGUCUAGCCCUUUUUCAUCUAAGUGAAUUAUUUUGACAAUUGCGACCUUUGGAGAUUUCAGCAAUGAGAAUCCUGAGGGCAAUGACUCUAAAGAGAGCUUCUCAUAAAGCUCUUGGGCUGAAUGGACCCUCUCUUCGAUGAACAUUUCAUUAUCCAGAGCUUCUUCGCUCUCACUCUCAAUCUGUAACUUUUGGGAUCUCGUUAAUGAUCGUUUUGGUUUUGAAGGUGUUUGUGGAUUUGUCAGUUCCAAAAACUGGGAGGGAAUGGCGUCAUCUUUUAAUCGCCUGUGGAUUUAUAAAAAAUUAUUAAUAGACUUGUCAGAUAAAUAUAUUAUAAUAAUUAAUUGAUAAAAACGAAAUUCUCACAAAAUUAAUUAAAGAGACCAUCUUUCUACUAAAAGUCAAUCUAAUUAAAAAGUAUUUUAAAAAAUAUAUCUUUCGCAGUUUCAAUUUGAGUGUGUAACGUCAAAUGUUAAAACAGUCUUCCCUAGACAGGGCAGGUCAAAAACAUAAUAUAUGUAAUAAGUUUUUUAAUUAAAAUAUGAUAAUAUUAUUAAACAAUGCACCCAUGUCGUAAUAGCCCCUCUGAUUAAUAAAAAUUAUUAAUAUUUGUAAA